rnacentral:rRNA from 1 species
GAUGAACGCUAGCGGCAGGCUUAACACAUGCAAGUCGAGGGGUAACAGGGUGCUUGCACCGCUGACGACCGGCGCACGGGUGCGUAACGCGUAUAGAACCUACCUUUUACAGGAGAAUACCCCAGAGAAAUUUGGAAUAAUGCUCCAUAGUAUUAUUGAAUGGCAUCAUUUGAUAAUUAAACAUUUAUGGGUAAAAGAUGGCUAUGCGUUCUAUUAGCUAGAUGGUAAGGUAACGGCUUACCAUGGCAACGAUAGAUAGGGGUCCUGAGAGGGAGAUCCCCCACACUGGUACUGAGACACGGACCAGACUCCUACGGGAGGCAGCAGUGAGGAAUAUUGGACAAUGGAGGCAACUCUGAUCCAGCCAUGCCGCGUGCAGGAAGACGGUCCUAUGGAUUGUAAACUGCUUUUAUACAGGAAGAAACACUCCCUCGUGAGGGAGCUUGACGGUACUGUAUGAAUAAGCACCGGCUAACUCCGUGCCAGCAGCCGCGGUAAUACGGAGGGUGCAAGCGUUAUCCGGAAUCAUUGGGUUUAAAGGGUCCGUAGGCGGGCUAAUAAGUCAGGGGUGAAAUCCAACAGCUUAACUGUUGAAUUGCCUUUGAUACUGUUAGUCUUGAGUUAUAUGGAAGUAGAUAGAAUGUGUAGUGUAGCGGUGAAAUGCUUAGAGAUUACACAGAAUACCGAUUGCGAAGGCAGUCUACUACGUAUAUACUGACG